rnacentral:rRNA from 1 species
UACAGAGGUCCCAAGCGUUGUUCGGAUUCACUGGGCGUAAAGGGUGCGUAGGCGGUCGGGUAAGUCUGAUGUGAAAUCUCCAAGCUUAACUUGGAAAUGGCAUCGGAUACUAUUCGGCUCGAGGAAUGGAGGGGAGACUGGAAUACUUGGUGUAGCAGUGAAAUGCGUAGAUAUCAAGUGGAACACCAGUGGCGAAGGCGAGUCUCUGGGCCGUAACUGACGCUGAGGAGCGAAAGCGUGGGGAGCGAACAGG